rnacentral:rRNA from 1 species
UACGAAGGGGGCUAGCGUUGCUCGGAAUCACUGGGCGUAAAGGGCGCGUAGGCGGCGUUUUAAGUCGGGGUGAAAGCCUGUGGCUCAACCACAGAAUGGCCUUCGAUACUGGGACGCUUGAGUAUGGUAGAGGUUGGUGGAACUGCGAGUGUAGAGGUGAAAUUCGUAGAUAUUCGCAAGAACACCGGUGGCGAAGGCGGCCAACUGGACCAUACUGACGCUGAGGCGCGAAAGCGUGGGGAGCAA